GAACGCUGGCGGCAGGCCUAACACAUGCAAGUCGAGCGGAUGAGAAGAGCUUGCUCUUCGAUUCAGCGGCGGACGGGUGAGUAAUGCCUAGGAAUCUGCCUGAUAGUGGGGGACAACGUUUCGAAAGGAACGCUAAUACCGCAUACGUCCUACGGGAGAAAGCAGGGGACCUUCGGGCCUUGCGCUAUCAGAUGAGCCUAGGUCGGAUUAGCUAGUUGGUGGGGUAAUGGCUCACCAAGGCGACGAUCCGUAACUGGUCUGAGAGGAUGAUCAGUCACACUGGAACUGAGACACGGUCCAGACUCCUACGGGAGGCAGCAGUGGGGAAUAUUGGACAAUGGGCGAAAGCCUGAUCCAGCCAUGCCGCGUGUGUGAAGAAGGUCUUCGGAUUGUAAAGCACUUUAAGUUGGGAGGAAGGGCAGUAAGCGAAUACCUUGCUGUUUUGACGUUACCGACAGAAUAAGCACCGGCUAACUCUGUGCCAG
rnacentral:rRNA from 1 species